rnacentral:lncRNA from 1 species
UUCACUCUAAUUAGAGUUCUAUUUAUAACAGAAAAUAUAUUGUAUUUAUCAUUCGUAGUUAUAAGGAAUUUAUGUACCUCUAACUAGGGUAGAGAGGUUAUUUCCAAAUAGAUCCCGGUAUCCCUCCUCCAAGAACUUCCCAACUUAUUUUUGGGAAGACUCGAACUCACAACAUCUCGAUUGGAAGUGCAAGUGGGGAUGCUUACCGUCACACCUAAAGCACAGAACCAGAAAGAAUUAAACGAACGAAGAAAUAAAGAUUGGGCGGCCGUAAAGAGCAAAUUGAAUUUGGGGAAACCUCUUAGCUCUUACAAUCCCGUGAAAGAAUGUCGGUUCGUUUGAUGAAAAAAAUCU